AUACCUUUCUCGGCCUUUUGGCUAAGAUCAAGUGUAGUAUAUGUCUUUUUUUAUUGAAAAGUGUAGUGUAGUAUAUGUUGUUAUCAGUUUAAUGGUUCACACGAUAUUAAAUUAAUAUUUUUACAGGUGAUUCUACCACAAUAGCGUGCUAUUGGGGCUCAAGUGUGUUGCGCUACAGCAAAGUUUGACGCACCCUAC